ACUCAUGAUUUUAGGAAGACGCAAAAGGGCUUACAAUAAUUUCUGUGAAAUCCACAUUUGAGCAUCCUUUUCCUUUCUCAACUGAGAGGUGAGUUCUCACAGUGCUCAGUAAAAAAAAAAAAUAAAGUUGUGCUUUUCUUUUUUUUUUUAACAUGUUAACUAUUUUUAACUAUUUAUUAUGGAAUUAAAACAUAUAAGUUGGCAGAAUAACUUACAUACCCCAAAUAUCCAUCUCUAAGCCUCCUUAAUGAUCCACCUUUGGCCAAUUCUGCCUCUUCUGAUCCCCAUCCACUUGCCACCUCCAGAUUCCUUUGAAGCGUAUCUUAGACAACCUGUCAUUUCACACCUACAUUUUGUACUAUGUAUCUCUAGAAAAUAAGCAUUCCCUUGAAAAGCCUACACCUACUCUUAAAAUGAAGAAACAUUUGGGACAUUUUCAGAGAGGACUUAGAAAGGGAUGAAACUAUAUCCCUUUAAUUAAAAAUUUAUUAAACUAAUACAUGUAAAUUGUUACCAGUACAGGACUGUUAGUAAUAGGAAAUGGUAACAGAUAAAAUUAAAGAGAGGCCGUUCAGAAGGAUAUGUCAUAAUUUUUAGUCACUUGUUGAAAUCAAGACUUUAGUUCUGCAGAACACAAUUAUUAUCAUGGUUCAGAAUUAUUAUACGUUGCCUUGUAUUUUCCCAGAGGUAAGCUCAGACCCAACUGAUUUACUUUUCCAUUUGCCCAGCUAUGUGGGUUAGUCAUGUUAGCUUUCUUUGUCCAGGUGUCUCCAAGCGUUUUUGAUUGCAUACUUCUAUCAGUAAGGAAUUAAGUGUGUAUCCAUAAUAUGAAUUAUUUAUUUAUAAAUUGUAUAUAUACUCAAUAAGGGUGGUUAAGUAUAUCAUAAAACACAUAUAAAAUAGAAACUAAAGGAUGAAAUGAUAAGUAAGAAUGUGUGGCAGUUCUAAUAUUUUCUUCCUCUUGUAUGUGCCCCAAUUCGAAGACAACUGGAGAAGGUGGUGGGACGCAAAAUACAUCAAAGUGAGGUGUCAGUCGUGAAAGAGGACUGCCUGGACUCAAACCCCGGUGCUGCUACUCCUUAGCUCAUACACAUCACUUAGCUCCGCUCAAUCUAUCUUGUCAUUUGUAAUGUGAGGGCAUUCAUGCCUUAUGGGGUAUUGUAGGGUUUAAUCCUUACACAGUGCCUGGUACGUGGUAAGCAUUCAAUACAUUUUAGUUAAUAAUGCUGCUGCCGCUGAGAAUUCAUUCCUAGAGGGCUGGGCUGGGUCUAGCUUCUGCUUUCCUCCUUUCUCUACAGAGUACCCGACAUGAGGCCCAUGCUUAUUGGUGCUGAUUCCAGGGUUUUGGUGCGCUGAUGGUGGUGUGGGUGAUGCUAUGGUGACAGUUACGGGGAUGGUCACAUUGGGCAUGAUCAAUAGCAUGGUGUACAUUUAUAUUGAUGAUGAUGGUGAUGGUAUGAUGACACGGGGAUGGUCCCGUUGAGGGGGGUGAAUAUGACCAGAAGGGGAAGCUCUUUUGCAGUCCCUACUGGAACUACAUCAUCAGUGUUUGCACUUGUCUUUCCUAAGAAGGUACCCACCCAACAGCUAUGCUGACCGGCUUGUUUUGCUGUCUCCCUGCCUGGCGUCUUGGCCCUGUUGACCUGUUUUGCUGCUGUGCCCUCCUCUUGUGCUCCCAUGUCGCUGUCUCUCUGUAGAGUCUGCUGCCCUGCUUGCCCGCGCAUAGGCCCGGGAGAUGGACCAGCCCCUCUCUUCACCGCAGGGCCGUAUUAUCUGCCAGUGGCUAUUUGGUUGUCACGGAAAGGAAUAAAAGAGAAGAAAUAAGUCCAUCCACUGAUGACUAGAUACAUAAAAUAUGGUAUAUCCAUGCAACGGAAUAUUAUUCAGCCGUGAUCAGGAAUGAAGUGCUGACACACGCUACAACAUGGACGAACCUUGAAAAUGUUAUGCGAAGUGAGAGAGGCCAGUCGCAAAAGGUCACAUAUUGUGUGAUUCUGUCUAUUGGAAACAUCCAAAAUAGGCAAAUCCAUAGAGGCAGAAAGCAGAUUGGUGGUUUCCAGGAGAUAGGAAGGAGGAGGAACAGGGAGUGACUGCUUACUAGCUGCCAGGAGACUGUUUCCUGUUCCUUCCUCUGAGUUCGGGAGACCUAGAGACAGCCAAGUGCAGGGUGGAAUCCCAUUCUGCAAACAAGAGAGAAGUACAAGUCUACAGUUGAGACCCCGGCUUUCUUCAGAAUGCUCACAGCCAGGCCACAACCCUCUUCUUUCACAGAUGGGUAAACCCAGAGAGGGAAGUGACUUGCCCAUGGUCCUGCAGCCAGCAGCUUAUAGGUGUGGAGCUAGGAUUCAAACCAGGUUUAGGAGACCCCGCAGCCUAUGUGCUCCCUAUUGCAGUUUUACUACCUGCCUCUGCAUCUUCAUCAGCAGAUUCCCACGGAAUGCUUUUGAUUUUGGCUCUGGGCUCCUAUAUCCAGAGUGUCGCCCAUCUAUUAUUUCAACUGAUGAACAAGUGCAGUUCCAACAUGAAUGUGGGUUGAUAUCUUAUGUUAAUAG